UACGGAGGUUGCAAGCGUUAUCCGGAAUUAUUGGGCGUAAAGCGUCCGCAGGUGGCUGUGUAAGUCUGCUGUCAAAGCGCGAAGCUCAACUUCGUAAAGGCGGUGGAAACUACACGGCUAGAGUGCGUUCGGGGCAGAGGGAAUUCCUGGUGUAGCGGUGAAAUGCGUAGAGAUCAGGAAGAACACCGGUGGCGAAGGCGCUCUGCUAGGCCGCAACUGACACUGAGGGACGAAAGCUAGGGGAGCGAAUGGG
rnacentral:rRNA from 1 species